AGUUCGAUUAUGGCUCAGAUUGAACGCUGGCGGGAUGGGCCUUUACACAUGCAAGUCGAACGGCAGCACGGACUUCCGGUCUGGUGGCGAGUGGCGAACGGGUGAGUAAUGUAUCGGAACGUGCCUGGCGGGGGAUAACUACGCGAAAGCGUAGCUAAUACCGCAUACGCCCUUCGGGGAAAGCGGGGGACCUUCGGGCCUCGCACUAUUAGAGCAGCCGAUAUCGGAUUAGCUAGUUGGUGGGGUAACGGCUCACCAAGGCGACGAUCCGUAGCUGGUUUGAGAGGACGACCAGCCACACUGGGACUGAGACACAGCCCAGACUCCUACAGGGAGGCAGCAGUGGGAAUUUUGGACAAUGGGGAAACCCUGAUCCAGCCAUCCCGCGUGUGCGAUGAAGGCCUUCCGGGUUGUAAAGCACUUUUGGCAGAAGAAACGGCACGGGAUAAUACCCCGUGCAACUGACGGUACCUGCAGAAUAAGCACCGGCUAACUACGUGCCAACAGCCGCGAGUAAUGCGUGAGGUGCAAGCGUUAAUCAAAUUACUGGGCGUAAAGCGUGCGCAGGCGGUUCGGAAAGAAAGAUGUGAAAUCCCAGAGCUUAACUUUGGAACUGCAUUUUUAACUACCGAGCUAGAGGUGUGUCAGAGGGAGGUGGAAUUCCGCGUGUAGCAGUGAAAUGCGUAGAUAUGCGGAGGAACACCGAUGGCGAAGGCAGCCUCCUGGGAUAACACUGACGCUCAUGCACGAAAAAACGUGGGGGCAAACGGGAUUAGAUACCCCUGGUAGUCCGCCUAAACGAUGUCAACUAGCUGUUGGGGCCUUCGGGCCUUGGUAGCGCAGCUAACGCGUAGAAGUUGACCGCCUGGGGAGUACGGUCGCAAGAUUAAAACUCAAGGAAUUGACGGGGACCCGCACAAGCGGUGGAUGAUGUGGAUUAAUUCGAUGCAACGCGAAAAACCUUACCUACCCUUGACAUGUCUGGAAUCCCGAAGAGAUUUGGGAGUGCUCGCAAGAGAACCGGAACACAGGUGCUGCAUGGCUGUCGUCAGCUCGUGUCGUGAGAUGUUGGGUUAAGUCCCGCAACGAGCGCAACCCUUGUCAUUAGUUGCUGCGAAGGGCACUCUAGUAGGACUGCCGGUGACAAACCGGAGGAAGGUGGGGAUGACGUCAGAGUCCUCAUGGCCCUUAUGGGUAGGGCUUCACACGUCAUACAAUGGUCGGGACAGAGGGUCGCCAACCCCGCGAGGGGAGCCAAUCCCAGAAACGAUCGUAGUCCGGAUCGCAGUCUGCAACUCGACUGCGUGAAGUCGGAAUCGCUAGUAAUCGCGGAUCAGCAUGUCGCGGUGAAUACGUUCCGGGUCUUGUACACACCGCCCGUCACACCAUGGGAAUUGGGUUUACCAGAAGUAGUUGGCCUAACCGUAAGGAGGGCGAUUACCAAGGUAGGAUUCAUGACUGGGGUGAAGUCGUAACAAGGUAG
rnacentral:rRNA from 1 species